ACACCCCCGAGUCUGCACCCUGGCUUUCGCUGUGCACCUUGCUAAGCUUGUGAGCAGGGCGCAGCUCCCUCGAUUAGGUGCACGCAGAUCCCCUGCUGGAGUGGAGCUCUCCUAGGUGAUGGUGGCGCCUGCUGGGACCUCCUCUGUCCCCCUUUCUUUGAACACUUUCAGUGCAAUGCAUGAGGAGUGAAACCACUGUUUGUCUGCGGAGGUGAGAUGCCCGCGAGGUUCCCCAGAUACCAGCUGGUUGUCAUGCCAACCUUUGUCUUUUAUGGAUGAUUGAGCUAACCUUUGCCCUCAAUCCUUCAGCUUGGUGAGGGACACUCAGCUCCAUUUCUUUGCCCAAUUACAGGGGACGUCCACAUGAGUCUUACUGAGGAUGCCCCUGGCAGCAUGGUGGGUGCCCCCUGGCUUGGCAGCCUCACAGGAGCCAGCCGUCCACGUGAGAUGGCGUGAGUGCUGUCACCCACACGUGCCUGCUUCAGAGAGUCUGUUUCUUGUUUUGAGAGCCCUUCUGGACCCCCAUUGAUCUGACAUCCUGCGGCACCCUGAUGGUGUCUUGUCAAACACACCCAGGCCAUGACCCCUUCAAGUUCAUCUUUGGCCCCAGCUUGGAUGCCAGAUCCUGGACCUCUGUGAGGGUUUAAGGUUGACAAGUGGAACCCCAGAGGGAACAAUGAAGGAAUUACCUAUGUCAAGCCCAUGAACAGCUUGCCUGUGCCCUGUUUCGUGAGAUCCAGAGAUGGCAUUCAAGAGGAGCACAAGUACAUGGAACAGAUCCUCAAAAAGGUGAGGAAAAGCUUCCAGGAAAUUGUUACUAUUUCAACCUGGAGCCUGGAAGGAGAGAUGCACAGAGAAGCUGUGAACCCAACUUGUACAUCUUGAGCCAACCCCAGCUAUAUCUCGCCAAGCACGAACACAGAAGAAGUUGAUUAAUGCAAUUAGUGCGUAUACCAAGAUAUUGCUGGCUGAUAAUUUCACUGAAAAUCAAUUUAUUUCCCUCCCCUAUUUUCUUCUCCUUUCUUCCUUCCUCCUUCCCUCUCUUCUUUCCUUCUCAUCUCUCUUUCUUUCCACUCAUUCCCUCUCACUUUUCCUUCCUGGAAGCAUUUAAAGCUAUGAAUUGUU